rnacentral:rRNA from 1 species
CCUACGGGUGACAGCAGUGGGGAAUAUUGCGCAAUGGGCGAAAGCCUGAUGCAGCGACGCCGCGUGAGGGAUGAAGGUCUUCGGAUCGUAAACCUCUGUCAGCAGGGAAGAACGGUCACUGUGCUAAUCAGCAGUGAAUUGACGGUACCUGCAAAGGAAGCACCGGCUAACUCCGUGCCAGCAGCCGCGGUAAUACGGAGGGUGCGAGCGUUAAUCGGAAUUACUGGGCGUAAAGCGCUCGUAGGCGGUAUGUCAAGUCAAGGGUGAAAUCCCCGCGCUCAACGUGGGAACUGCCUUUGAAACUGGCAAACUGGAGUGUGUGAGAGGAUAGUGGAAUUCCAGGUGUAGGAGUGAAAUCCGUAGAUAUCUGGAGGAACAUCAGUGGCGAAGGCGACUAUCUGGCACAUAACUGCCACUGACAUUGAUGCUCGAAAGUGUGGGUAUCAAACAGGAUUAGAUACCCCUGUAGUC